GUGCUCACUUUGGCAGCACAUAUAUUAAAAUUGGGACAAUACAGAGAAGAUUAGUUUGGCCCCUGUGCAAAUUCAUGAAACGUUCCAUAUUUUU
rnacentral:snRNA from 1 species